AGUGUUUGGAGCUAUCUCUACCAGCCACUAGUACAGCUCAGGCCUUAGCUAUCAGAGGGAGUGCACACAAAGAGCAGGAGAUGAGGAAGAGGACAAGAGGACACAGGAGAGGUGAUUGAUGCCCCGUGAGAAGGUGAACGUGACAUAAACCCUCGUCAGCUGCAAAAAAGGAACCGCGAGACAGAAUAGCAUGCAGAUUACCGGCAUCGCUCUUGGAAUCACUGCCGCACAGAAGCACAAUGACAGAGCCUGGUGGUGGCAUCAGUGUCUGGAGACCAUAUAGUGACUGAAUGACAUAGCGUGGAGGUGUUGGCAGCAUGAGGACACCAUAUAGUGGAUGAAUGGCACAGCGUGGAGGUGUUGGCAGCAUGAGGACACCAUAUAGUGGAUGAAUGGCACAGCGUGGAGGUGUUGGCAGCAUGAGGACACCAUAUAGUGGCUGCAUGGCACAGCGUGGAGGUGUUGGCAGCAUGAGGACACCAUAUAGUGGCUGAAUGGCACAGCGUGGAGGUGUUGGCAGCAAGAGGAGACCAUUUAGUGGCUGAAUGGCACAGCGUGGAGUUGGCUGAUGCACUAGUACACUACACACCAG